CAGGUGGAAAAUUUAAGGGUGGAUCAGGUGUUAGCACUCCUACAAGAAAAGGCACAAACAAAAAGAAAGAUUUGAGAAGAGUUCCUUCAAAACCUAUAGAAUUUGGAAGGACUAUAUCAUCCCUUCAAACGUCACUGGCCU